rnacentral:misc_RNA from 1 species
GGACUACGACGGGUCGGGUGCGCUCACCAUUAGACGGCCUUCUGCGCGGGUCUAAGACGGGCGACACUUACAUCGCGGCGCCUGUUAUCAACCUUACGACCUAAAACCCGCAGCUGGAGCAAAUAACAUCUGCUCCUAUUUAGAGUAACUGUUUUUAGUAAAGUAAACCAAGAAAUACCACCAAACAUGUCCUACAGAAGCAGCCGCAGGUCUCGCUCCCGUUCUCGUUCUCGCUCUCGCGACCGUGGUCGACGCGAUAGGGAUGACUGGGGCCGAGGUGGAGGGUAUGGUGGCAGCGGUGGAGGUGGGAGGCCGUCGCUGAAGGGGAGGCAGCCGGGAGAACGUCUGCGAAAGCCAAAGUGGGACCUGUCCAGACUUGCCCCCUUCGAGAAGAACUUUUACCAGCCCACACCUGUUGUUGUCAACCGACAGCCCUAUGAAGUGGAACAGUACAGAAAUGAAAAGGAAAUCACACUUAGAGGAAAGAACAUUCCCAAUCCCAUUCAGUACUUCACGGACUACAAUUUCCCAGACUAUGUAAUGGCCGAAAUCCGUCGACAGGGCUAUGAAGCACCUACACCUAUUCAGGCACAAGGCUGGCCUAUUUCAUUACAAGGAAGGGACUUUGUUGGUAUUGCACAGACUGGCUCAGGAAAGACCUUGGGUUACAUUUUACCAGCCAUUGUUCACAUCAACCACCAACCAUAUUUGGAACGGGGAGAUGGCCCAAUUGCGCUUAUCUUGGCUCCCACAAGAGAACUCGCCCAGCAAAUCCUAACAGUUGCACAAGACUUUGGUUCAUCUUCAAAGAUCCGCUCCACAUGUGUGUUUGGUGGUGCACCCAAAGGGCCACAGAUUCGUGACUUGGAACGAGGGGUUGAGAUUUGCAUUGCCACACCAGGACGUCUCAUUGAUUUCUUAGAAGCAGGGAAAACCAAUCUUCGCCGUUGUACAUAUUUAGUACUUGAUGAAGCUGACCGCAUGUUGGACAUGGGUUUUGAACCACAAAUCAGAAAAAUUGUAGAACAGAUUCGGCCUGACCGACAAACUCUUAUGUGGUCUGCAACUUGGCCCAAAGAGGUGAGGAAUCUUGCCGAGGACUUCUUAAAAGAAUACAUUCAACUUAAUGUAGGCUCCCUAUCCCUCGCAGCCAACCACAACAUCCUCCAGAUUGUAGAUGUUUGCCAAGAGAUGGAAAAGGAUACAAAACUCCGGCAGCUACUUGAAGAGAUCAUGGCAGAAAAGGAAAGCAAGAUCAUCGUGUUUGCAGAAACAAAAAGAAAAGUGGACGAUUUGACCAGGCGAAUGAGACGCGAAGGGCUGCGCCAGUUGCUCAAUGAGAUGGCGCAAGAGAGGGCUUACAAGACAAUAAUCUUUAUCGAAACGAAGCGGAAGGUGGAGGAUGUUACUCGUGGGUUGAGGAGUACUGGGUGGCCAGCUAUGUGUAUCCAUGGAGACAAAUCUCAACAAGAGAGAGAUUGGGUUUUAAGUGAAUUCCGUUCAGGGAGGGCACCAAUCUUGGUAGCCACAGACGUUGCCGCUCGUGGGUUAGAGGCACUCAAAGCGAGAUAAUGCACGGAGGAUGUUUCGUUGCAUUAGGCUCCGGUGCCUCUGAGACUCGUCGUGCAUCACGAGCACGAAUACGCAUUGGCGACAAGUGUCCACUGGUGCCGGAAAGGUGGUCACGUUGCCCUGGCCAUCAGUUGUGGCAGAGGUCAACGAUGACCAGCGAUAGCGGCCGCCUGCAGCCUGUGUCGGUCCAGAACGACCCACUCUGGUGUGCAGCAGUCCGCGCUGGUCUUGCCUAGCCUGCCCACCCUGGACCUGCCAAUUGAUUCGCUACCGUAGCAUCGUGGCAAGCCGCAAGCCCCAGACCUGUGGUUAACUGGGCCUUGCGUGGCCCAGCCCCCUAACACAGGGCCCUCAGCCCUGGGACUGAAACGUACUUUAGGGUCCACCCCGGCCCCCACUUGCCGCUGCCUCUCCCGCACUGCCACAUGUGGAACAUGUGGAUGAUGUGAAGUUCGUGAUCAACUACGACUACCCAUCUUGCUCUGAGGAUUACGUUCACCGAAUUGGGCGAACUGGGCGCUCGGACAAGACAGGAACUGCCUACACAUUCUUCACAGCGGACAACUGUAAGCAGGCAAAGGAUCUGAUCGAAGUGCUGAAGGAGGCCAAUCAAGUUGUUAAUCCCCGGUUAUAUGAAAUCAUGGAAAUGGGACGCGGUGGUGGAGGUAAAG